AUUCAACAAUAUACCUGAGAGCUUACUGCCACAAGACACUCAUGAGAGCUAGCAUUUAUGGUGGAUACUCUAUAUGCCAGGCACAGGGCGCCACGUAUUUUCCCUCGACAGUAACUUGGCAAGCUUUUCAUGUCACUCUGGCAUCGCUCAGAUUAUCAGCUACCCUUCAGAAAAAGAACCCUGCGUUUCGAUGGCUAAGGAACUCUGACAGGAAGAGGAGAAGUCCCGACUAGAGGAGGGGGCAGCAUUCAUCUUUUGGCACCGGUGAGUCAGUUUGCGAAGUUGGCGGCAGCGAGACCCCGAGGCAUCUGGGAGACCCCGGAGUUCUGACUGCCCUACUCCGCUUUCGUUUCCUUCCCCCCACCCCUGGCUUCCCGGGUAUUGGAAGCCAGCUGAGUCCCCGGGGUCGCAGGCCGCCCAGAGGUUCGAGCCGCGCGGCGGGGUGGGGCAGCGCGGGGCACCGCCUCCCUCCAUACCUUCUCUCCCCGUGGAGCACAUAGGAGCUGCGGAAGAAGCCCAGGAGCUCAUUCUCGAUGAGCGCGUUAUAGAUAAUCUUCAGAUUGUAAUUCCUCUGCGCGUCCAGUGUCCUAUUCAGCACCACCACUAAGACCUGGGUUUGCGGGUAGAGGAAAAAACCGGCCACAGGGACAGCCCCGAACGCCCGGUCCUCGGCCAGCUGCACUUUCUCCACCGCCACUCGGGAAGCGUGCAGCACUACGUAGCGGGUGGCGUUCCGGCACGCGAUCUCCACGUUGACCUCCCCGGAGAAGGUGAAGUUCUCCAUGAAGGCGGUGAGCAUCAGAUUGUAGUGCAGCGGCUUCAGGUGGCCCGACAGGCGCAGCUGCGUCCACGGCUCCCACGGCUCCCGCUCCUCCUCCGACGGCGGCUGGGCCGACGGGGUCCCCGGACUGGCCACCCCACCCGCCUCGGGCUGCCAGGAGUCCCCGCCUGCGUGGUGGUUGCGCCGGGCCGAUCCAGGGAGGCUCCCGUUGCCGCCGCGCUCCGGAAAGCCUGAGGGGCCACCGUCGGCGCCUGGCGUGGCACUCGCCCCGCACUCGUCGAAGCGCAGGCUGAGCAGCACGGCGAGCAUUGUGACCGCGAGCAAUGCCACGAGGGACACGGCGAAGGCCAGCACAAGCCGCUUGUGUACGGCGAUGUGGCGCUCCGUGGUGCGGGGUCGCACUCCCACUGAGUCUGCCCACGGGUCGGAGAGCCCCCUGCCGCCAGCCCGAAGCGCGGCGUCGUCUUCCCCCAUCGCGGCUGCAAAGGCGGCGGCGUUCGGUCCUCUGGGUGGAAUGUGCUCGCAGCAGCAGUGACGGAGGCCACAGCACGGGAGGCACCCGAGCCAUACACCCUGCAGCUGGAGAGAAAAGGAUGGCCGAGGUGGGAGAGACUAGAGUGAACCAGCAGGAGGAAGUCCUAGGGCCGCGAAGCUACGACGGAGAUCCGUCCUGGAAAAGCCUUCUCCACCCUGGGCACUUUAAGCGGCGGUGGCGGCAAACGGCAGGAGGUUGCAGACCCGACAGCGAGCCUCCCUCAUUCCAGUCUUGCUCUGCCCUCCGGAGAUGACAAGUGAGAAAGAAGUGUCCGGCCGGGCCAUCCCCUUCAGAGAAGCAACCACUUCACAAGAAGAUUCUGAAGUUGGCCAUUUUUGAUCCCAGAACAGUUUCUCAUAGAUUAGAAAUAUUGGAGUCUACACAAAAAUCGACAUUCAUUUACAAGAUCAUCACUAAACUUAUGUUGCAUAACAUAAGUGGCAAGCUCUGACUUGUGAUUUUUUCAUAAGAAAAAUGUUUUUUAACUUAGUAUCAUUUCUACAACAAUGUCCCAUGAUAAUUGAUUCUAGGUGAUUUGAAAUACUGCUUAGUCCUGUUUUAGAAAAAGCUCCCAUAUCUGAUUUAGUCUCAUACGCAGCUUACUUCUAACAUCAGAUUGAAUUUGCAUUGAGUUACCUUACUCGGUUUAUUUUUUAAUUAUGUUGCAGUUACAAGGGAAUAAGGAAAAGUCAGUAUAGUGCGUUGAAAUGUCUUUUUUAAUUGAGACACACAAGAAAUGUGUUACAGGUUCCCAAACAUUCUUCAUGUAUUAGAGAUGUUAUAAUAAUCUUUUGAAUAGCCAAGUGAAAAGGAAUGGUUUCACCUGAACAUGUUAGAAUUUAUUGCUACAUUUUUUGUGUGUUGUGGUGGAGAAAUAAAUUUUUAAAUUUCAUUUAUGGAGUCAUUUCAGAACAAGUAGAAAUCAUGUAAUCUGGUCACUUUGAAUGUGUAAGUGUUUGUAUCUGAACUCCUCCUGCCCUAUUAAGAGUGGAAGGUUGUACUAUAUGUUACUCAAAAAGUAAUUUUCCCCGGAUAUGCAAUAACACCUCAGAUUUGACCUAUAACCUGAAUGUCAUAAGCUAUCCAUUAGCUAUGCUGGAAGCACACCACCAACAACAAAAAAGUUUUAAGUAUUCUUAUAGGCUUGCUAAAAUCUGAUUAUAGAACAAAGGCAGUUCAAAUACCAUGAGUAAGACUGCAGAAACCCUAGAAUUUAACUCCCUAGUUAUUCUUAAUGAGUGAAUCCUGUGCUUUGUGUCUAAAAGCAAUGUAUUGCACUUUCCAAUUCAGGAAAUGCAUUUUAAUUGCUAUACCCAUUGAUACAUCAAUCUGUCCAUGACAUUCUGACAUAUAUCCAGUUUCCUAUGGAUUCGGUAUAGGAGCAAAUUAAAAGAUGCACUAGAAUGGUAACAUUUAAUCUAUAAUCCUCCAUUUAACCUUUAUGUGGCUGUCACUGAACAAGUCCUGUUUUUAGAGUUGAACCAAAAAACAAACAAAACAAAACAAAACAAAAAACAAAACAAAACAUGCACACACACUAGAGAAAGGGCUUUUUUUUUUAACCUGGGGACCAUGAAAAAGUUUUGACCAUUCCCCGACCCCCAUGCUUCAACUUUAGCUUUGAUAGUGAGAGUAUGUCUUCCUUCAGUUUAAGUUGAACAAACUUCUGCAUAAGACCCUCCAGAAAACCUUUGAACACAUACAGUUUUGGGGGCAAUGGGGACUGAACUAUGUACAAAUAGGUGAUACUUCAGCACACAAUUCCUGGGAUAAAUUUUAUCCUCCUCUCAUUUUUAUUUUUAUGAACUAUAUGGGGUUUUUUAAACAAGUUACAAGAAGCAAAACACAUUUUACCUUUACUCUGUUACAUAUUUCAAAUUAAGCAGAUCCUAAUUAAUUGGGUUACAUUAUAUAACAAUAGCCUUUUUAAUAUCAAAUGGUUUUUAUGAUCUGUCUUCAAUUUUUCUUAAAAUGAGACUGCACUAAAGAUUUUCUUGACAUUUCUGAGAAUUUCAGUUUCAGUUUCAAAAAAUUAUUUAUUCCUUUAAUCUUUCAAUGUGGAAAAGUAAUGAAUAUUGAUUCAUUUUUAGAAGCGCUAACAUCCAACUAGGUAAACUUCAUGAGUGAUGCCUAUUAAUGUUCUCUUUCAUCUUCUAGACAGAAAAUCAAAGCUAUUUAAAGUAAAGGAUUUGUUUCAAAUCAAGGUAUGUCCACAAGUUAACAUUAAUGUUUACAACACUUUCUGUGAUAAUUGUGUCUUAUUUGGGUGUAUGUAUGUCUUUAUAUCUAUCUGUAAAGAUAUAGUUGCAAGUAGAUGAGAGACGAAUGUUCAUGUUUCUAUAUGGUCUGAAUAAAAGUGUUAUCAUUAUGCUAA
rnacentral:antisense_RNA from 1 species